AAUCCUAAAGUAGAUGGCCUUUUCAAAUUGGCUUCCUACACUUAGUACUAUGCAUUUAAGUUUCCUUCAUGUCUUCUCAUGGCUUGAUAGCACAUUUCUUUUUAGUGCUGAAUAACAUACCAUUGUCAGGAUAUGCCACAGUUAAUUUAUCCAUUCCCCUAAUGAAGGACAUCAGA